rnacentral:rRNA from 1 species
CUACGGGCGGCACCAGUGGGGAAUAUUGGACAAUGGGCGCAAGCCUGAUCCAGCAAUGCCGCGUGAGUGAUGAAGGCCCUAGGGUUGUAAAGCUCUUUUACCCGGGAAGAUAAUGACUGUACCGGGAGAAUAAGCCCCGGCUAACUCCGUGCCAGCAGCCGCGGUAAUACGGAGGGGGCUAGCGUUGUUCGGAAUUACUGGGCGUAAAGAGCACGUAGGCGGCUUUGUAAGUCAGAGGUGAAAGCCUGGAGCUCAACUCCAGAACUGCCUUUGAGACUGCAUCGCUUGAAUCCAGGAGAGGUCAGUGGAAUUCCGAGUGUAGAGGUGACAUUCGUAGAUAUUCGGAAGAACACCAGUGGCGAAGGCGGCUGACUGGACUGGUAUUGACGCUGAGGUGCGAAAGCGUGGGGAGCAAACAGGAUUAGAUACCCCCGUAGUC